UCCCCCUUUACUCCAUCUCGAGCUCCACCACUCUGUGGUCUCCACUCACGCACAAUCGAACAAGGUGGCGCCUCUUGUCCACUCUCGAGCCUCACCGCCGUGCUCUGCUCAUCAAUCCACCGUGCUCUGCUUCACACCGCAACAGUCUGGCCGUCGUCGCCACGUCGAAGCUCUCAUCCAUCGCAAUCCAUCACUGUGUCUGUGACCAAACGACACCACGAUAGCACCUGCUCCAAAUCAAGCUUCUCUGGCGCGUUCUUGCUUCAACGGAAUCAUGCCUCACCGUCGGAAUCAAAGUGGAGAAGAGAAACAAUGGCGUUUCGACAAAAGGUGCUGCUACCAAGUAGUGGGCAUUGGAAGAUGGUACUAACUCUGUCGCUAUGGCUAAGAGAAGAAUGAGAGCCAACUUUGAGUUUUUGAAGAAACUUGGAGUUGAUUGGUGGUGUUUCUACACGUGAGGUGCAGGUGGAGUUCUUCUUGUUUACGACAUCAGCAGACAGCAGACUUUUCAGAGCAUUGGUAGAUGGCUGAACGAGCUGCACACACACUCGGACAUGAACGUUGUGACGUUCUUCGUUCAUUCGUUACGAAUUGGAGUUGAUUGGUGGUGUUGUGUUUUACUUGUCUCUUGACAGGUGGUGUUGCGGAAACGCCUUGCCCAUAUCAAAAGAGAAGUUGAUAAAAAGAUGGUGGAGAAGAGAAGUUGGUUUCUUGUGUUCUUCUGUGUCAAGCUUUGAUCUGAGGUAAGUGAGAUUCGGUUUGGAUUAGAUGGUGAAGGAAACAGAGUAAUAUGAUGUGCUCGGCGUUAGCCCAAGUGCUACUGAGUCUGAGAUCAAGACUCAGUUUGUUUAUGACUAGAUUUGAUGGUUAUAUGUUCUUUUAUGGAGUUCGUGUGUUUCAUGUAUUGAUUUUGUAUGUUUUGAUUCUUUG